GGAAGGAGAUGGGAGGGCUGUGCGAGACGCUGAGAGAGUGAGGAAGAGAGGUGAGGCCGGGAACGUUGGAUGCAGAGAGGCUGUGAGAGGGUAGAGAUGGAGGCCGUGAGUCGCAGAGAGGCGGAGAGUGAGGAAAAGAGGGG